CUGAUAAAGCGCACACAUUCAAAAAUACACACAUUCACAAAUACGCUGUUCCUCCGGAGUUCGUGGCUGUCGGACACCUCUGAGUUCUUUUGCUGCACAGCCCCAAAUCCAGUGCCAAACAUGUUGUUUCUCAAGACUAGUCCUGAAUGGCUGAGCGUCUUGAGUAUUCUUCACAAGCUUGAGGUGUAAUGUUAACGCACCAGUUGAUUAUGUGCAGCUGCCUCCAAUCCUGCCCCUGCUUAUUUAAGGCGGGGGCUCUCAUUACUCCCGGAAGAUGGACGCCCGAAGGCCCACGGCUUGAGGGCACAGGCCUCCUAUGGCUCCAGCUCAGUCCGGGGCUCAGAGCGCCUGUCCCCGUCAUCCCAUCUUUACUCCUUCUCCCUGCACCGGAUCCCAUUCCAGUUUUUAACUGUGUCUCAUUUGGAUUUCCCGGUUUUGGACUCUUGGACUUCACCCUGGAUAUCCCCCCUGGACUCCCUCAGACUUGUUUGCCAUGGUGACGCCACCCCGAGCACCAGUUCACCGUCGUCAUGCCCCCCUGUUCGUCAGCCUGCCCAGUUCCUCGUCCUCCGGAUUCUGCCGUCUGCAUAGGGUCCUGAUCUACACAUCCCUGGCAUCUGUAUUCUCUUCCCUUUUGAUGAUGUGUAUUGUCAUUGAGUUGUGUUUGACUGUGCCGUAAAACACAUUUCUCCUAGGACACAAUAAAGUUUGAAUUGAAUACUC